UAGAACACUUCCCCCUCCCAACAAACCAUUUUAAUAUUAUAGUAAAGGAGAUCGAAAAUUUAUUGGAGUUA
rnacentral:tRNA from 1 species